rnacentral:rRNA from 1 species
GACGAACGCUGGCGGCGUGCUUAACACAUGCAAGUCGAGCGGUAAGGCCUUUCGGGGUACACGAGCGGCGAACGGGUGAGUAACACGUGGGUGAUCUGUCCUGCACUUCGGGAUAAGCCUGGGAAACUGGGUCUAAUACCGGAUAUGACCUCCUAUCGCAUGGUGGGUGGUGGAAAGAUUUAUCGGUGCAGGAUGGGCCCGCGGCCUAUCAGCUUGUUGGUGGGGUAAUGGCCUACCAAGGCGACGACGGGUAGCCGACCCGAGAGGGUGACCGGCCACACUGGGACUGAGACACGGCCCAGACUCCUACGGGAGGCAGCAGUGGGGAAUAUUGCACAAUGGGCGAAAGCCUGAUGCAGCGACGCCGCGUGAGGGAUGACGGCCUUCGGGUUGUAAACCUCUUUCAGCAGGGACGAAGCGCAAGUGACGGUACCUGCAGAAGAAGCACCGGCUAACUACGUG